GCGAGAUGACGAUGAAAUUCAUGUCUGUCAAUCCACUGAUUUUUGUGAUGUUAGAAGUGAAUCCCGACAGGUUCUGAUCGC